rfam:Caulobacter vibrioides strain T5M6 contig_7, whole genome shotgun sequence.
UGAGCGGGCCGGGCCCCUCUGGCGCAGCGUCUUCACCUCCCCUCUGAAAGACGCGCGUGAUGUCGGACCGCAUCG